AAAAAAGAUAAAACGGUGUACAGUAUUUAUUGCAAACGUUUUCUAGAUUGACAAUUGCAUUGCACUGGUGUUUGUUUUGUAGAAGUAGGUACGCAUAGAUGAUUUAUGGAGUUUUGCGAAUUAACGGGACGAGUGUGUGCUGGUGCACCAGGUAUAUCAUGUGUGCGUUGCACAAAUAUACGCGGUACACCGGUACGUACGGCACAUAUUGUAUUAUUUACUUAGGUACCGCGCGAAAUAGAUCUUACCUUAUCUGACCUUUUUUUUUUUUUUCCUCUUCUCCGUACCGUCUGUAAAUGCAGCAUUUGGCGUUUAGCGUUGAACACGUAACUAAGGACAUGCGCGAAUUUUAUCGAUUUUUUUUUUUUAUUUUUUCUUUCAAACCGUUUAUUUUUCUUCCGUAAAAGAAACCCGAAACCGCAAUGAUCAAACCGACAUCGUAUUAUCGUCUCGGCGCU